CCUACGGGUGGCUGCAGUGAGGAAUAUUGCGCAAUGGGGGAAACCCUGACGCAGCGACGCCGUGUGAGCGAUGAAGGCCUUCGGGUUGUAAAGCUCUGUCAGAGGGGAAGAAAGGGGAUAUGGCUAAUAUCCAUGUCCAUUGACGGUACCCUUGGAGGAAGCACCGGCUAACUCCGUGCCAGCAGCCGCGGUAAUACGGAGGGUGCGAGUGUUAUUCGGAAUCACUGGGGGUAAGGUAAGCCAGGUCGGAAAUCCCGGAGCUCAACUCCGGAACUGCAUUUGAUACUGCCUGUCUUGAGUGUGGUAGAGGGGGGUGGAAUUCCCGGUGUAGAGGUGAAAUUCGUAGAUAUCGGGAGGAACACCAGAGGCGAAGGCGACCCCCUGGGCCACUACUGACGCUGAGGUGCGAAAGCGUGGGGAGCAAACAGGAUUAGAUACCCCGGUAGUC
rnacentral:rRNA from 1 species